UACAUACAUAUAUACAUACAUACAUACAUAAAAAUUAAGAUUGCUUAUAACUUUAGCCAGUUAAGUUUUCUCCUGGCCGAGGCUUCAUUGGGCCUGUUUGUAUUUGAUGAUUUUAUUUGACUCCAGUGCUCAAUUUCUUCUGUGUUGUCAGCUCGGGCUAAUGGGACACAGAAUGGCUCAUUUUUGGCUGUGCAGUUUUCUGUCUUCUGUGCACAACUUAAAAUAAUUAUAUGGGGCAUUGUCUGAGCACAACUAUAUGUAAAUUGUGCCAAAAUAUAAGGAACUAUGUCCCAAGGUGCCAGCUUUUUCCUUGUCUGUUUGUAUUGUUGUUGAGAAAAAUAAUAUUAAAAGUUGGCAUUUUAAGGCAUAUGUUGCCUACAUCUCCAUUUUGCCUACACAUUCUAAUAAAUUUUAUUAGAUUUCUCUUAUUUGAUUGAACUAGACCCCUUCCAAGAAAAAAUCGCAGGUAAAAAGUCACUAAUAUUAGAAAUAAACACGUGGAGAUAUUCUCCAUGGGAAGCAUCUGAGGUCCCUGCCUCUGGGGAACUGUGUGGGGAGCAGGCAUUGCUCGCUGAGCACCUGCUGCCUGGGCUCCGUGCUGGACUCUGCAUGGGGACACCAGGACAGAGAAGAUGUCACCGCUGGCCGCAAAGGCAUCUCUGGGCUUCUGAGUCAGAUACAACAUACACACAAGUCACUCCAAUAGAAGGCAGGAUCUCCAAGGCAUCUCGGGCGAGAUCUAGAGGGGAGGGAGGGGUUGUACUUGGUUGCAGGAAUCAGGGGGUCUUCAGGAAAGAAGACACGCCAGCCGUGGGCUUUGAAGGACAAGUGGGAGGUCAUCAGAGACCAGGGCAGGGCCGCCGGGGCAGGCGUUCCCAGGAUGGGGCUCGGCCCAGCAAAGCCCAGAGUCACGCUGUGGGACAAUGUUGCCUUUGCGCCAUCAUGCCUGCCUGCCUGGCCGUGCUGCUGGGUGACCAGAAGUGAGACGUGUGCUCUUUCUUUGUGCGAUUCUUUGGCAUCAGAUCAAGGCUCUCAUCAAGAGGUACAUCCAGAGGCAGCAGACGAUCAACUUGGUGGUGGUUCCCUGUAACGUGGACAUUGCCACCACGGAGGCGCUGAGCAUGGCCCAUGAGGUGGACCCGGAAGGGGACAGGACCAUCGGUAUCCUGACCAAACCAGAUCUAAUGGACAGGGGCACUGAGAAAAGCGUCAUGAAUGUGGUGCGGAACCUCACGUACCCCCUCAAGAAGGGCUACAUGAUCGUGAAGUGCCGGGGCCAGCAGGAGAUCACAAACAGGCUGAGCUUGGCAGAGGCAACCAAGAAAGAAAUUACAUUCUUUCAAACACAUCCAUAUUUCAGAGUUCUCCUGGAGGAGGGGUCAGCCACGGUUCCCCGACUGGCAGAAAGACUUACCACUGAACUCAUCGUGCACAUCCAAAAAUCGCUCCCGUUGUUAGAAGAACAAAUAAGGGAGAGCCACCAGAAGGCGACCGAGGAGCUGCGGCGUUGCGGGGCUGACAUCCCCAGCCAGGAGGCCGACAAGAUGUUCUUUCUAAUUGAGAAAAUCAAGAUGUUUAAUCAGGACAUCGAAAAGUUAGUAGAAGGAGAAGAAGUUGUAAGGGAGAAUGAGACCCGUUUAUACAACAAAAUCAGAGAGGAUUUUAAAAACUGGGUAGGCAUACUUGCAACUAAUACCCAAAAAGUUAAAAAUAUUAUCCACGAAGAAGUUGAAAAAUAUGAAAAGCAGUAUCGAGGCAAGGAGCUUCUGGGAUUUGUCAACUACAAGACAUUUGAGAUCAUCGUGCAUCAGUACAUCCAGCAGCUGGUGGAGCCCGCCCUUAGCAUGCUCCAGAAAGCCAUGGAAAUUAUCCAGCAAGCUUUCAUUAACGUGGCCAAAAAACAUUUUGGCGAAUUUUUCAACCUUAACCAAACUGUUCAGAGCAAGAUUGAAGACAUAAAAGUGAAACACACAGCAAAGGCAGAAAACAUGAUCCAACUUCAGUUCAGAAUGGAGCAGAUGGUUUUUUGUCAAGAUCAGAUUUACAGUGUUGUUCUGAAGAAAGUCCGAGAAGAGAUUUUUAACCCUCUGGGGAUGCCUUCACAGAAUAUGAAGUUGAACUCUCAUUUUCCCAAUAAUGAGUCUUCAGUUUCCUCCUUUACUGAAAUAGGCAUCCACCUGAAUGCCUACUUCUUGGAAACCAGCAAACGUCUCGCCAACCAGAUCCCAUUUAUAAUUCAGUAUUUUAUGCUCCGAGAGAAUGGUGACUCCUUGCAGAAAGCCAUGAUGCAGAUACUACAGGAAAAAAAUCGCUAUUCCUGGCUGCUUCAAGAGCAGAGUGAGACCGCUACCAAGAGAAGAAUCCUUAAGGAGAGAAUUUACCGGCUCACUCAGGCACGACACGCACUCUGUCAAUUCUCCAGCAAAGAGAUCCAUUGAAGGGCGGCGAUGCCUGUGGUUGUUUUCUUGUGCGUACUCAUUCAUUCUAAGGGGAGUCGGUGCAGGAUGCCGCUUCUGCUUUGGGGCCAAACUCUUCUGUCACUAUCAGUGUCCAUCUCUACUGUACUCCCUCAGCAUCAGAGCAUGCAUCAGGGGUCCACACAGGCUCAGCUCUCUCCACCACCCAGCUCUUCCCUGACCUUCACGAAGGGAUGGCUCUCCAGUCCUUGGGUCCUGUAGCACACAGUUACAGUGUCCUAAGAUACUGCUAUCAUUCUUCGCUAAUUUGUAUUUGUAUUCCCUUCCCCCUACAAGAUUAUGAGACCCCAGAGGGGGAAGGUCUGGGUCAAAUUCUUCUUUUGUAUGUCCAGUCUCUUGCACAGCACCUGCAGCAUUGUAACUGCUUAAUAAAUGACAUCUCACUGAACGAAUGAGUGCUGUGUAAGUGAUGGAGAUACCUGAGGCUAUUGCUCAAGCCCAGGCCUUGGACAUUUAGUGACUGUUAGCUGGUCCCUUUCAGAUCCAGUGGCCAUGCCCCCUGCUUCCCAUGGUUCACUGUCAUUGUGUUUCCCAGCCUCUCCACUCCCCCGCCAGAAAGGAGCCUGAGUGAUUCUCUUUUCUUCUUGUUUCCCUGAUUAUGAUGAGCUUCCAUUGCUCUGUUAAGUCUUGAAGAGGAAUUUAAUAAAGCAAAGAAACUUUGUAAAAAUGUAGCCAGGUUCAGUGACUCAUACCUGUAAUCCCAGUGACUCUGGAGACUGAAGCAGAAGGAUCACUUGAGCCCAGGAGUUCAAGACCAGACUGGGCAACACAGGGAGACCCUGUCUCUAAAAAAAUUUGUUUGUAAGUAGCCAGACAUGGUGGUGCACACCUGUAGUCCCAGCCACUCAGGUGGCUGGAGCAGGAGGAUCCCUUGAGCCCAGGAUUUUGAGGCUGCAGUGAGCCAUGACUGCACCAUGCACUACAGCCUGGGUGACAGAGUGAGAGUGAGACUCUGUCUCUGAAUACACACACACACACACACACACACACAGAGAGAGAGAGAGAACUUCACACCAGUGAUCAUCAUUAUGGGUAAUUUUCUUUUCUUCUUCAUGUUUUCCUGUAUGUUUCAAAUGAUGAACAUAUAGAUUCCUUAAUAAAAAGACAAUAGAAU
rnacentral:sRNA from 1 species